rnacentral:lncRNA from 1 species
CUUAUAUUCUUUAUUAUUUGUUUUAACUAAGCUGUAGUUAAACUAAAUAGUUGUAAAAUUUAAGCGAUUUCUGCAUUUUUUUUUCUCUGGGAUUACCUCUAUUUCUCCUAUCAGUUCAUCAGAAAAAAGUACAAAAACGGUAGCUUUUUUCGAAGGCAGAUUAAAGUUAAAUGAACAGUAACCCCAUUUUAUAUGUUAUUUUUCAAAUUAGUAUAUGCAUGAUCAAGUUCAUUUAUAGAAGAAAAAAUAGCGAAAUCCUCUCUCUUAAAAAAUAGAUGUAUACCCUCGAGCCCC